CAGUCCAGAGAGCCAUCUAGCCCCUUGUGCCCAGGCUGGCUCAGUCCUUCAGGGGAGAGAGCCUAAGGCGAGUCGGAACUCUCUCAGGCUGCUUGCUCCUGCCUUGGGGAGAGAAGCUGUGGAAAAGGCUAGAGCAGGGCAGCUUGGCUGAUCCCCAGGGUGAGGAGAAAGAUGGUGAGAUAACGGUGACAGGACUCCUGAUGCAUCAGCCUCCUCAACCUGUGAAUUUGAUAUUUGGUCUCAGGUCUGGCCAUAUAAUGGAGAGUCGGGGAGUGUUCAUGAGCUUGAUGCUGAUGUCGUGUGCUCAGAUGCAAUGUGAGGAUUCAAAUUCACAAAAUAAGAAUGCCAUUUAUCUUCUCACAAUAAGAGAAUUACAGAACUGAAUUUACCGAGGAGGCCUCUGCUACAGGCGCUGGUGUUCCUGUCGAAGAUGUGAGUUUCCUUUAUUCUCACACAGGGGCUCACGGGAGCUUUACGAUUCCGUCACGGCUCACAGCUCUGUGAUUGCAAGAUCCUCUUCUGCCUCCUGAUUUUCCCUCUAAGCCUACAGAGGAUGACAGGAGGAACAACAGCCAGAGGGGAGCUGCUUGUAGAGAGACGGGCAGCUGGAAAACACACAAACACACUCCCCUCCCCUCUUGCAUGCCCCCCCCCACCCCCCGGCAGGUGUAGUACACACCUGGAAACCAGAUGAUGCGGUGACUGUGGCUGUGUGCUGUAAAGCAUCAUCUAACCUUUGAUUUCACCUCUAAGGUUAGACCACGCGUAUUCCUAAUAACCACAACAGGAUCACAGCCUCCGGGAGGUGAUGGCACGGGGUUGUGCCCUCUCCAGCCUGGAGAUGUGCCCGGCAUCCCAAACCUCAGUAAGGGUGGAGGUGUCUUAGUCUGAGUUCCUCCCAAGGCAAGCAGUUGAUGUGGGACGUGAAGCCAGGCAGCACUGUUAGGGGAGGUGGCAGUGAGUCAGAGGAGGGGACACAGCCCCCAAGGGUGAGUGUUUGAGUCUCCACUUUGGGUAGCAUUUGGGGCCUCUUGGAAGAGGUUACCCUGCAGGAGGGAUGGAGAGAGCUGGGUUGUGUGUCUGUUGUCACUGGCUAGGGUUGGCUUCUGGGAAACUGAGUUCCCCAGUGUUUCUGGCCUGUUACAUAAUACAGGCAGAAUGGGCUCCAGGGGCAAGAGGAAGCCCUCAGGGCAAAGGAAUGCCAUCUGGCCAGUGGACGUUGGGUUGGUGGGCAUGCAAGCGUGGUCCUGCAGAUGUGGCAGACAGGGUGCGACAGCUCCAGAGUCCCGGGGCACAAUGCCGGUCAGAGGCUUGGCAGGAUUGCUUGCUGUCACUUCCAGACCCUUAUGCCAUCCCUACAAACAAAUAGUUCGUUUUAAUCUUAAGCGCCAGACGGUCAGAGUUUAUGGGAGCAAGGCACGAACGUGUUCUUGAAAACUGCCCUAUAAUCUAGCUCGUGUUUGACCAGUGCUGAUAUUAGGGUUUAAAAAUGUCUCGGAGCUUCUCAGUUGGUUUGACCUCUCCCACUCUGAUCUUCUAAAGAAUAAUUUUAUAAACAGGUGAUUAUGGAAGCUCUACCAAGAAGGGCAACCAGAUUGUGCCAAACCACAAUGUGUGUCUCCAUGCAGUGAUGCAACUUCAAGGCCAAGGAGUUGCAGGCACCAGAGGUGUCAGAAGCCUGACCAGGCUGCUCUCAGUUUAGCAUUUGCCCCACAUGGGGCUUUAUUAGAAAAGCAAUGAGGAUUUAUCAGGACUACUAACAAAAGAAUUGUGCUGUGCUUUCUGUGCCUCUUACCCCUUCUUAAUGAUGUGUUUUUUUGAAUAUAAAACAAAUGUUCAGUUGUCAAGGCUCUCUGGGAGAAUGUUAUACUGUUGCUUAAUAUUUAAGCAUUUGCUAAUCUUUGGGGACCAGAAUUAAUACUCAAUGCUAAUUAAAAAAAAAAAAACACUUCACAUUUGUAUUGCACUUUAUUAAUCAAGUGAGGCACUAUCUGUCAAAAACACUUUGUAAACUGUGAAGUGCUCACUCUUAUUCCUUAGGCUCUAAAUCUUAGCUGUCAGUUCAGCCUAAGGUACGAGUCACUCCUGGUAGAAGCUGGAGAUCUGUCUGCAAAGGUGCUGGGUGAAGAAAUACCACCUUGGAGAGAGGACAGCAGUCGGGGAUGGGGAGAAAUCUCGAUCCCGGCAGGGGAUCUCAAGGAGAAAUGGUCCAUAUUUGUGGUUUCAUGGAUCCUGCGGGAGCUCACUAAGCGCAGAGCCAAGAAAGCAGCUAUAUAUUUCUGAGGAAGUCAUGUGUAAUUACGCCACUGCUCUUAUGUUGCUUUAUGGCAGCUAAGAAUGCUGUAAUGUCUUUUUAAUCAUAAGCACAGGCCCACAGGUCCUAGAGAGAGUGGCUGAAUUUGAAAUUAAAACAAAAACCCAAUAAAAAGGUCCAACAGUUAUUUUUUUUUUUAAACACACUGUUAUUUGGUGGAGUGCUGGACAAAUUGUUUUAUUUCCCCCAUUUGCAAAUUUGCUUUCAAAUUCCCUUCACCUUCAUUAUCCUCUACUUUGUCAAUAAUCAUUUUCUUAUAGUUCUCUCUGACAGCCUCUCCAAAGGCUACCACACAGCUUACUUUUUGGCCUUUGUGUUUAAAGGCGACAGAAAAAAAUGCACAGUCGAAUGCAGCUCAGGCCAUGCUUGAUUUCAGGUUGAGUCUUCCAAGAAGGCCAGCACUCUCUCAACCGAGGGCUUGGCAAGUUGGCGUCUCAUGGGAUGAGAAAAUUUAGCCUCUGCCCUCAGGAGGCUCACUUCUAGAGAAGACAAACCAGCAGCUUUUCUGCAUCAGGAAGGCAAUGGCUUUUCCAUGAACCCACGGACUAUCCCCCAGGCCACACCUCCCCUCUAAAGAGCAAGAGGCUAGGGGAUGCACUAUUGAGUUUUUCAGUCUUUAACAUUGAGAAAGAGGGGAAGGGGGUUAGGGAUGGGUUUUGAAUAAACUACCUACAAGCAUGUUUUAAAAUAGGAAUAAUCUCCGUUUUUUGAGGGAGGAGACAGAGGCUCCGAGAGAUGAAGUAUUUCACCUGUUGUCACAUAAACGGUAAGAGCAGGAGCAGGAUUUGGUGUGACUCAGUCUGACUCAAGAGUGUGGCCUCUGAACCAGCUCUUCUCAUUCUAGGCACCUGCUGCCUGUGCCCUCCUCCCAGGCUGUGUCCCCAGUGCAUCGUGGGAGAGUUCUGACUUAAACACUGUGCGUUGCUAGGUGUGUGGCUGUUUGGAAGAGAGAGUCUUCAAAGCUUGGGCAUUCCUGCUGUAGAGUCUCCUUAGCUGUUCCUCCCUCCCUUCCUUCCUUUGCAUACUUAUUAAGCACCUCCUGCAAGCCAGACAUUUAGGUCUGACACUCUGCCUAAUCACUCAACAGCUUGCUGAAUACAUAAAUAUUUGUGGUCUGGCAUAAUUCUUCUGCCCCUUUGUAAAGAACAAUGGAUUGGUUUGUGUGAAGUACAGGCCAUUAUUCUCAUUUCUAAGUCUCUGUUCUGAGAGCAUCAAUAUGGCAGUUUUCAGAAAGAAAAAAAAAAAAAAAAAAAAAAAAAGGAGAAGAUGCCAGGCCCUUUCAGGGAUAUUAAACCUCUUAAAUGACAAACCUGUAAUUUGUAGAGGGAAAAUGAUUCCCUGAAUGCAUCUUAUAUCCUUGAGUUCCAAAUUACAAAGUUCUCGCUGAAAUUGGUUUCUGCCCAGGAGGAGAUAACGUCAGUCAAGAAGCUGGCUUUCUGAUCAACACGGCGCUUUUGCUGCAGAGCACGCGGCCCCAGCCCUGCUCCACCCAACCAGGAGCAUUAGAGGCAAUUUCUAUUUCUUGCUGGGACCUUCCGUGAACAUUUCAAAGACAGGAGACAACAGCGGGCUAGAGAGGUUAUUAAAAUGCGAUUUGAUUUUCAGCAGGGGUUACAAGGAUGCAUUCAGUGGAACUUGCAGAUGCUGAUGGUGGUAAUGACCCGGGGCCCAGCUCCCUUGGCUAAGACAUUUAGUGAGACCCACACACCAGUCACCAGCAUUAUCAUCUUAUAAAAUGAGAAGAUGGCUUUUGACUCAGGUUGAAACUAUCGAACCUGCUGAUAAACUUCAGCCAAUAGCAAGCCUCUUAGUAACUUCCUCAUCAUUCCUCGUAGACAUCACUUGUUCCUGUUGGAGGUUCUCCAUGAAUGAGACAGAUGGACUGAGGCCACUGAGUCUCAUGAGCCCUUGCAAAGAAGCACUCCCUCCAAACACAGGUCCCUGGUCUUUGUGGUGUCCCUGUUCCAGGCCUGGUCCUUGCCCUCGGCACAGCUCCUCGGGUGCCAAGAAGUCCUUGAGACCCUGGAGCACGUUUCACUUCAACUCUGCUGACAAGGAAACUGAUCUCAGAGAGCGGUUCCGGGGCUCACUUCAGAUCCUGUCUAGUCUCAGGCCACAGUGGACCCAGGAGUCCUGGCUUGGUCAGCAGUUCCCUGCCCUUGUCUUCCCAGUGCUCUGGGGACUGUCCAGCAAGCUCCUCUCCACCUCCUCUUCGGGAGUAGCGAGAGCACCAGCAACCUCCUCAAAGACUGAGAGCCUCUAAACUGCUCAAUAAUCUGGAUUCUUUGCUAUUUAUUUAGUGAAGCCUGCCUCCUGAGAAGCCAAAGCUGAGAACUAAGACAAGGGCAGAUGGUGCUAAGCUUUCCUUUGAGACAGUUCCCUAGCUUCGAAGCUAUGAAAUAUUCAAAGCUAUUUUGAGAAAUGACCUUUUUAAAAUUAAAAAAAAAAUUGUUUUAAAGAC